rnacentral:tRNA from 1 species
GGUUUGGUGGUCUAGUAGUAUGAUUCACCCUUAGGGCAGGCCUUCUCUUCUGGAGCAGGUCCGAUCUGGGUGAGGUCCCGGGUUCAAUUCCCGGCCAGACCC